UACAGAGGGGGCAAGCGUUGUUCGGAAUUACUGGGCGUAAAGGGCGCGUAGGCGGCCUUCUAAGUCGAACGUGAAAUCCCUGGGCUCAACCCAGGAACUGCGUCCGAUACUGGGAGGCUUGAAUCCGGGAGAGGGAUGCGGAAUUCCAGGUGUAGCGGUGAAAUGCGUAGAUAUCUGGAGGAACACCGGUGGCGAAGGCGACAUCCUGGACCGGUAUUGACGCUGAGGCGCGAAAGCCAGGGGAGCAAACGGG
rnacentral:rRNA from 1 species